rnacentral:rRNA from 1 species
GACGAACGCUGGCGGCGUGCUUAACACAUGCCAGUCGAACGGAAAGGCCCUGCUUUUGUGGGGUGCUCGAGUGGCGAACGGGUGAGUAACACGUGAGUAACCUGCCCUUGACUUUGGGAUAACUUCAGGAAACUGGGGCUAAUACCGGAUAGGAGCUCCUGCUGCAUGGUUGGGGUUGGAAAGUUUCGGCGGUUGGGGAUGGACUCGCGGCUUAUCAGCUUGUUGGUGGGGUAGUGGAAUACCAAGGCUUUGACGCGUAGCAGGCCUGAGAGGGUGACCGGCCACAUUGGGACUGAGAUACGGCACAGACUCCUACGGGAGGCAGCGGUGGGGAAUAUUGCACAAUGGGCGGAAGCCUGAUGCAGCAACGCCGCGUGCGGGAUGACGGCCUUCGGGUUGUAAACCGCAUUCGCCUGUGACGAAGCGUGAGUGACGGUAAUGGGUAAAGAAGCACCGGCUAACUACGUG